AGUACAACAGUUCAUGUGGAGGAAGAAGGUGGACAGUCAGCCAAUCAGAGGAGGCCAACACAAAAGAGACGAGAGGAAGACGCUGUUGCCGCCAUUUCACGUGAAACUAGCGUGUGGCGGAAACGACGUCCGGAACUGAAACAUUACUUUCAAUCAGUUGGCUGUGGUUCGCUGAGUGCGCGCGAUGAAUUACGGCAGGCCGCCGCCGGACGUGGAGGGGAUGACCUCCCUGAAAGUGGACAACCUGACGUACAGAACCUCUCCGGAGACUCUGCGCAGGGUUUUCGAGAAGUACGGCCGCGUGGGCGACGUGUACAUCCCCCGAGACAGGUACACCAAGGAGAGCCGCGGCUUCGCCUUCGUGCGGUUCUUCGAUAAGCGCGACGCCGAGGACGCCAUGGACGCGAUGGACGGCGCGCUGCUGGACGGACGUGAGCUGCGCGUGCAGAUGGCGCGCUACGGGCGCCCGCCGGACUCCAUGUACAGCCGCAGAGGAGGUGCACCCCGCAGGUUCGGCUACGGACGCAGGACCAGGAGCCGUUCAGCCAGCCCCCGUCGUCGCAGAAGGAGCCGCAGUCGCUCCAGAAGCAGAAGCCGAUCCAGGAGCCACCGCCGUGACAGCCGAUCCCGAUCUCGCUCCUAUUCCAGAUCCAAAUCCAAAUCUAAGUCCAAGAGCAGAAGUCCCCGUCGGAGCAAGUCCAAGUCUCCCUCCAGAUCACGGUCCUGGUCAAAGUCUAAAUCUAAGUCACGGAGUCAAACCCCACCUUCCAACAGAGAGUCCAGAUCCAAGAGUGGGCCGAAGUCUCCAGAGGACAGUGGUGUCAAGUCCUAACCUAAACAUGGACAAAAUAUUCAGCUGCGGAGUCCUGUUUGCAAAGAGAGGAGAUGGGGGUGUGGCAGUUUGAGAGCAGUUAGUGUGUGACCCGCCCAUGUGACCUGCCUGUUGCUGAGAGUGAUGGCAGUUGCUAAGGAGCAGGUCACCAAGGCAACGGUGGUUGCUAUGGAGCAGGUCGCCAUGGCGGUGGUUCGGGCUGUCAGUUGGUGUAUGAGGUGAUGUGGUGAGAUCUGAGAUAUUUGAGCCUCUGCGGAGACCAGGAAGAGACUCAAACACGUGGACACCACAACUACCACUGAAUGCAGACUGAAAGGUUAUUGGACCAUGGUCCAAAGUUUUACAUGUUUGAUUUGGCCUAAAAAAAAAAAUCUAAAACUAUACAUGUAAUCUCUCUUGAUUAAGUUGUACAUAUUGAUAGCGACUUGUGAACCGGUUUCUCCCUUCAAACUGGGCCUAUUGCAUUUUAUUUGUUUGUACACUUAAUACCUUGUUCCUUACCAGAUACUUUCUUUAAUCAAUUCCUUGUUUAAUCCUUUUAAGAGACAGGUGUGGUACAGUAUUUAAUUUUCAGCACUGAUGUAGAAGAGGGUAUUGGAUGUUUGGACAACAUUGUGUAGGAAAAUUUGAACAUUGUGCACAGAUAAAAUCAGGGUGAUAGUCGAUUCAAUUCCACUUUCAGUUGUACAAUUCAUACUCUAAUUAGCAAGUACUUAACAAGGACACAUUUCAGGUCAGGUUUGUUGGGGGGGGGGGCUAUGACAUUGCGAUACAUAUAUUGUGCAGAAGAUUUGUAUAACAUUCAAAUUUAAUAAAAAAAAAAAAAAUUGGCUUGACUGUAUUGAUAAACUUAAAAAAAAAAAAAAAAAAGUGCCAAAGUCCAACUCAGAAUUUGGAAUUGGAAUUGGCCCCAGUCCUACCUUACGUAAACCGGUGCAGGGUAUGACAUGUUAAUGCAGCAGCAUAAUGUUGUCUGUCUGCACACAUUUUGCUUUCCUGUGACUCUAACCCACUUUCUUGUGUAUCUUUUGUGCACUAGGCGCAGUUGUGUAGCAGUUUAAUGCUGGUUAGCUGUUAAGAUGCGGUGCAGUGCGAUGGUGACAUGGUGUGGCGUGUUGCGUUGCUGAGUGCCCGGCACUGUUCCGGGGCUCGACCCUCCGCUGCCGUUUUCCGGUUUGUAAGCUCAAAGGUGUGACAGAUCAUCGAUCCUCACUCCUGUCUUGUGCCCUCUCAUUCUUUCAUGUGUUGUAAAUAACCCUGUCAUCUUUCUCUCUUCACCCCCUUUCCUGUUUUUCUCCCUGUGGUUUAUUUCCCGUUGACUGGCUUUGCUUGUUUUUGAGUGGGGAGUGACUCAGUCAAAGCUCGAAAGGGCAGUUCCAGCUGCCUCAUCAUUUUUGUGUACUGCAUUGUCACCCUCUCUCAAAUGUCUUGUAAUUGCUUUGGGUAAAUGCCAAUAAAAGACUUUGUGCUAUA